rnacentral:ncRNA from 1 species
CAACCUCAACUCAUAUGGGACUACCCCCUGAAUUUAAGCAUAUUAAUUAGGGGAGGAAAAGAAACUAACAAGGAUUUUCUUAGUAGCGGCGAGCGAAAAGAAAUCAGUUCAGCACUAAGUCACUUUGUCUAUAUGGCAAAUGUGAGAUGCAGUGUAUGGAGCGUCAAUAUUCUAGUAUGAGAAAUUAACGAUUUAAGUCCUUCUUAAAUGAGGCCAUUUACCCAUAGAGGGUGCCAGGCCCGUAUAACGUUAAUGAUUACUAGAUGAUGUUUCCAAAGAGUCGUGUUGCUUGAUAGUGCAGCACUAAGUGG